rnacentral:rRNA from 1 species
UACAGAGGUCUCAAGCGUUGUUCGGAUUCAUUGGGCGUAAAGGGUGCGCAGGUGGCAAAGGUAAGUCAGGUGUGAAAGCCUGGGGCUCAACCCCAGAAGAGCAUUUGAUACUGCCUUGCUAGAGGACUGGAGAGGAGACUGGAAUUCACGGUGUAGCAGUGAAAUGCGUAGAUAUCGUGAGGAAGGCCAGUGGCGAAGGCGGGUCUCUGGACAGUUCCUGACACUGAGGCACGAAGGCUAGGGGAGCAAACGGG